rnacentral:rRNA from 1 species
UGUAAGAGCCGGUGGAGGACCGAACCCGCUAGCGUUGAAAAGCUAUGGGAUGACUUGUGGAUAGGGGUGAAAGGCCAAUCAAACAUCGUGAUAGCUGGUUCUCUCCGAAAUAUAUUUAGGUAUAGCGUCAUGUAGUAACACUAGGGGGUAGAGCACUGAAUGGGCUAGGGCAUACACCAAUGUACCAAACCCUAUCAAACUCCGAAUACCUAGUGUGUAAUCAUGGCAGUCAGGCGGCGAGUGAUAAAAUCCGUCGUCGAGAGGGGAACAACCCAGACUAACAGCUAAGGUCCCUAAAUCUCAUUUAAGUGGAAAACGAUGUGGAGUUACUUAAACAACCAGGAGGUUGGCUUAGAAGCAGCCAUCCUUUAAAGAAAGCGUAAUAGCUCACUGGUCUAGUGAUUCUGCGCGGAAAAUAUAACGGGGCUAAAAUGAGUACCGAAGCUUUAGACUUAGUUUUACUAAGUGGUAGGAGAGCGUUGUAUUUGCGUUGAAGGUAUACCGGUAAGGAGUGCUGGAGCGAAUACAAGUGAGCAUGCAGGCAUGAGUAGCGAUAAUUGGGGUGAGAAUCCCCAACGCCGUAAACCCAAGGUUUCCUACGCGAUGCUCGUCAUCGUAGGGUUAGCCGGGUCCUAAGCAAAGUCCGAAAGGGGUAUGCGAUGGAAAAUUGGUUAAUAUUCCAAUGCCAACUAUAAUGUGCGAUGGAAGGACGCUUAGAGUUAGAGGAGCCAGCGGAUGGUAGUGCUGGUCGAAAGGUGCAGGUUGGAGUUCAGGCAAAUCCGAACUCCUUUAAGCCGAGGCCUUACAGGUGCGUGAAGUUCUUCGGAAUGAAUCGUAAAUCCUUGAUACUGUCGAGCCAAGAAAAGUUUCUAAGUUUAGUUAUAGUUGCCCGUACCGUAAACCGACACAGGUGGGUGGGAUGAGUAUUCUAAGGCGCGUGGAAGAACUCUCUUCAAGGAACUCUGCAAAAUAGCACCGUAUCUUCGGUAUAAGGUGUGCCUAACUUUGUGAAGGAUUUACUCCGUAAGCAUUGAAGGUUACAACAAAGAGUCCCUCCCGACUGUUUACCAAAAACACAGCACUCUGCUAACUCGUAAGAGGAUGUAUAGGGUGUGACGCCUGCCCGGUGCUCGAAGGUUAAUUGAUGACGUUAGCUCUGCGAAGCGUUUGAUCGAAGCCCGAGUAAACGGCGGCCGUAACUAUAACGGUCCUAAGGUAGCGAAAUUCCUUGUCGAUUAAAUAUCGACCUGCAUGAAUGGCGUAACGAGAUGGGAGCUGUCUCGAAGAGGGAUCCAGUGAAAUUGUAGUGGAGGUGAAAAUUCCUCCUACCCGCGGCAAGACGGAAAGACCCCGUGGCCCUUUACUACAGCUU